AAAAGCCAAUUUUUGUCCAUCUUCAACCCCUUGGCCGAAUUUCACAUGAGGAAGACAUAGCUAGGGUUUUUCAACCUUCCAAGCUCGAUUAUCAAGAAGAACGAAAUUCGGAGUUAGACCGGGGAAAGAAAAAGAUAGUGGACUAAAUCGAUAAAGUUGAUCGUAUUUUGUUUCGAGAUCAAGAGAAACGAGAUUCAAGUCGUGAUCGAGGGAAAAAUAAAGUUUACAAGGAAUAGGCCCGAUUGCUAAUAUUUUGUAUCGAGGUUAGCUCAGGGUUGGAGACCGUCGGAGGCAACAUCACAUUAUCAAGCCAACACCUUGAUAGUAUAAACACAUAUGCUAGAUUUAUCAAGUGAGUGGCAUGUAUAGGGACCUAAUUUUAUAACAUGUGUUAUUAUUAUUUGGCCAAAUAUAUUUGUAUUUAGUGAGCUAAUGAUUCUAAGGCCAAAUAUAUUUGUCUUUAGUGAGCUAAUGAUUCUAACUUAUAAAUCUAGCUAUUUAUGUUAUGUUUGAUAUUGGUGAUGUGCAUAUGAUUGGUUGUCAUGCAAGGUUGGUAAUAAGUUGUUUAAGUUGUUCAAUUGAUGAAUUAAGUUUAGUAACACUUCGUGCUUGACUUCGACAAUGGUCUUGGGUACGGGGGUGUUACAUUUAGUGGUAUCAGAGCUAUGGUUUAGUCGGUUCUCGGACUAAUCUAGCAUGUGUAAAAGUCCAACUAUACAUGUCACCGAUCCGUGAUAGUGUGAUGUCUCCUGACGCGUAUGAGAGCCACUUUGUUUAGACAAAGGUACUCUCCAACCGAGCUACACCGACCAUGUUGAAUGUGAUGCUAAAAUAUUCAAGUAAAGUAUAGUCAUGAUGAACUGAAACUUGGAAAGGUACGAAUGAGGAUUCAUGAAAUGUGUACAUGGUGAAAUGAGUUUAUCCAUGAUUAAUAGAUAAUUCCAUGAUGUAUAUGAUCGAUUUAUUUGAACAAAUGCAUGUGUUUGAGUAACUUAUCAAAAAUAUUGAUAAGAUGAAUAUUCAUGUAUAUUGGUUGGGAUGAUUAUGAUUGGUAAGCUCGUAUAACUUGAGUAAA